rnacentral:rRNA from 1 species
UACGUAGGAGGCAAGCGUUAUCCGGAUUUAUUGGGCGUAAAGAGGGCGUAGGUGGCUCUUCAAGUCGGAUGUAAAAUCUCCUGGCUCAACUGGGAGAGACCAUUCGAUACUGCUGGGCUAGAGUGCAGCAGAGGGAGGUGGAAUUCCCGGUGUAGUGGUGAUAUGCGUAGAUAUCGGGAGGAACACCAGUGGCGAAGGCGGCCUCCUGGGCUGUUACUGACACUGAGGCCCAAAAGCGUGGGGAGCAAACAGGAUUAGAUACCCUCGUA